rnacentral:rRNA from 1 species
GAUGAACGCUGGCGGCGUGCCUAAUACAUGCCAGUCGAGCGAACAGACAAGGAGCUUGCUCCUCUGACGUUAGCGGCGGACGGGUGAGUAACACGUGGAUAACCUACCUAUAAGACUGGGAUAACUUCGGGAAACCGGAGCUAAUACCGGAUAAUAUAUUGAACCGCAUGGUUCAAUAGUGAAAGACGGUUUUGCUGUCACUUAUAGAUGGAUCCGCGCCGCAUUAGCUAGUUGGUAAGGUAACGGCUUACCAAGGCAACGAUGCGUAGCCGACCUGAGAGGGUGAUCGGCCACACUGGAACUGAGACACGGUCCAGACUCCUACGGGAGGCAGCAGUAGGGAAUCUUCCGCAAUGGGCGAAAGCCUGACGGAGCAACGCCGCGUGAGUGAUGAAGGUCUUCGGAUCGUAAAACUCUGUUAUUAGGGAAGAACAAAUGUGUAAGUAACUAUGCACGUCUUGACGGUACCUAAUCAGAAAGCCACGGCUAACUACGUG